GAGACAAUACCUCACGUGCUAGAAGAAGAGUAUCAUCCUUAAUGGAGGGUUAUAUUAUAGUGUAGAAGAAAAGAUAUCAUUAGUUCCAUAUUGAUUGGAGUCAAGAGAAAAUCUAACUUGUAAAGGGCAAAAUUGUGAGAUUCUGAAUGACCAAGGCCCACUAAAAAUUGAUUUUUUUUCUUGACUCUAAUCAAUAUAGGACUAUUGAUAUCUUUUCUUCUACGUUACAAUAUGUUCUUUGUAUGGAUCAAAAAUCUUAUUUUAAAUAGUAUUUCACCAUGAUGAAAACCCCUGUUUCUAUUGUACCGCAAAUCUUAGACUCUGCAUUUGGAUUGUCCAAGCUUCAAGCUCUUAGUAACAGUUAUCAGGAUUCAGUCCCGGUCUUGCUUUGUGCAUGAAACCCAACUCCCUCGGAUAGGUCUCGUGUUUAGCCACGGUUAGGCUUUGGGAAUAUCCAAACAAGCCUCAAGGAUUUCUCUUAUUCACAUCUAAAUUUUAAUGAAUUACAUGCCAAAAAACAACAUAAUAUUUUUAUGGUAUAACAAUUAAAACAACCCCCCCCCCCCCCCCCCCCCCUUCCUCCUUUGAAAAAAAAUAACACCAAAAAAAUGGUAGUGGACCAAAUUGUGCAUGGAGCCUACCAAAAUUAAAUUUUUCUUUUUUUCGCACAUCAACUGUUGGAUUAUAUCGUGAGAGGAUGGUAUCUUUAGUUCCACAUCGGUUGUGACUCAAGAGAGAAAAUAGCUUACAUGAAUUGAAAUCUUUUCUCUCAUAUGAGACGUUUUUUAAAAGACAAAACUGUUAGGCUUCAAAUGACUAAGGCUUACUAAACUAUGAUCAUAGUUAAAGUAGACAAUACUUCACAUAUGUGGACGCAGAGUUAAUCCAGUCAUCCGAGUCAUUCGAUUGGGGCAUAUGAGACGUUUUUUAAAAAGCAAAAUCAUAAAACUCCAAAUGAUCAAAAAUGUAUGCAGGUGUAGAGUCAUCCUAACCAUCUUAGCCAUCUGACCCUUGGACCAUUGACCACAAUAGAUUACAUAAUAUCUACUUCGAGAUCUAUAUAGAC
rnacentral:lncRNA from 1 species